UACGAAGGGGGCGAGCGUUAUUCGGAAUCACUGGGCGUAAAGCGUAUGUAGGCGGUUAUGUAAGUUAGAAGUGAAAGCCCAGGGCUUAACCUUGGAAUUGCUUUUAAUACUAUAUGACUCGAAUUCGGUAGAGGAUAGUGGAAUUAUCAGUGUAGCAGUGAAAUGCGUAGAUAUUGAUAGGAACACCAGUGGCGUAGGCGACUAUCUGGACCGACAUUGACGCUGAGAUACGAAAGCGUGGGUAGCAAACAGGAUUAGAUACCCUGGUAGUCCACGCCGUAAACUAUGUGUGCUUGUCGUUGGGGGUUUUAACCUUCAGUGACGUAGCUAACGCGUUAAGCACACCGCCUGGGAAGUACGGUCGCAAGACUAAA
rnacentral:rRNA from 1 species